GCUGUUGCUAUGAAACUUGCCAGUUCACAACAGAUGGCAGUAGAAUCUGUUCAGCGAGGGCCGCUCUGAAGCUCUCCACUCAAGCAUACCAUCAACAUUCCUCACAUGCCUCAGGCCCCGGCUUCAGGGCAACCUAGGCGGUAUCCACGGCGAUGGUGACACAUGCAGUCUCUCUCUGGACUCUUCUCAAGGACAGUCGGAGAGGAAUUCAGGACUGUCUCACAUUGCCUCUCCAGAUCACGAUCUACUCUGUGGCAUGGUGAAGACAUAAAGAACACCCUGUUCAUCGAUUUGAAAAACCUGAUGACAGCAUUGUUCCAGCAGGAAACCCACAGUUUGAGCCCUGGCAGGCUGGGAUGAAUAGACAGCAUAUUGUAGUUUCUUCUGGCAAAAGAUGAAACAAGGCAGUUAAGUCCUGCAAUCUAUUCCCAUUUAAAGUGAUCAGAACCAUGCACACAUUUGAAAACUAAUCUCCAGGCAUUGCAUUUUUACGUUGUGAGCAAGUCAGAUGGAUCCAGAUGGAAGAAGAUAUGAGACAUUUCAGUACAGGGCUGAUAGUAGGUUCUGGAGAACAGACUUUGCUACAGAUUUCCACCCAAACCUCCCUGAAGGAAUCAGAGGCAGCAAUCAUGGAGGAAUGACUAUGUAUCCCUCCAGAACAGCAGCUCUUGUUACACUGACAGUGUCGCAAUGGCUGGCUACCCAUGGUGGCUGUACAUCCUUUUUUUUUUUUGUCAAACUCCUGUACAAUUUUCAAAGGUGGCAAAAUGAGAACUAGGAUAUCUGAUACAGGCCCUCACUUGUGAUCUUAUUAAACAAGGGGUUACAAACAGUUCAACCGUUACAGUCCUUGUGAUAAAUGGUACAUAUACAAUUUACUAGCAUCAAAAGCCUCAAUCCCCCUCAUUAUGCCUGCAGAUUCAACACUGUGUUACGAAUCAGAUCAAGCAGCCCGUGAUGUAGUGAAGAAGGCACCAGCAAACGAUCUCUUAAUGAAGUACAUGAUAAACAAAUAAACAAACUGCACUGAUGACCUGUAAAAGCGCUUACUGCUCAAUUAACCCAAUUAAACUUGUGCAACCCCUUGCUUGUCAUGUUA